GUGGCUUCCGGAGCUAACGCGUUAAAUCGACGCUGGGGAGUACGGCCGCAAGGUUAAAACUCAAAUGAAUUGACGGGGGCCCGCACAAGCGGUGGAGCAUGUGGUUUAAUUCGAUGCAACGCGAAGAACCUUACCUACUCUUGACAUCCAGAGAAUUUAGCAGAGAUGCUUUAGUGCUUUCGGGAACUCUGAGACAGGUGCUGCAUGGCUGUCGUCAGCUCGUGUUGUGAAAUGUUGGGUUAAGUCCCGCAACGAGCGCAACCCUUAUCCUUUGUUGCCAGCACAUUAUGGUGGGAACUCAAAGGAGACUGCCGGUGAUAAACCGGAGGAAGGUGGGGAUGACGUCAAGUCAUCAUGGCCCUUACGAGUAGGGCUACACACGUGCUACAAUGGCGUAUACAAAGAGAAGCGACCUCGCGAGAGCAAGCGGAACUCAUAAAGUACGUCGUAGUCCGGAUUGGAGUCUGCAACUCGACUCCAUGAAGUCGGAAUCGCUAGUAAUCGUAGAUCAGAAUGCUACGGUGAAUACGUUCCCGGGCCUUGUACACACCGCCCGUCACACCAUGGGAGUGGGUUGCAAAAGAAGUAGGUAGCUUAACCUUCGGGAGGGCGCUUACCACUUUGUGAUUCAUGACUGGGGCGAAGUCGUAACAAGGUAACCA
rnacentral:rRNA from 1 species